GAAAUCAUACUUGACAGGAUCUUUUCUGUAGUAUGUAUUUCUCAUCUAAAUCUCAAAUUUUGAGUUCACUUUUACCACGAUGAGGAACUCGUAUCAAGUUCUCCUGAGCGUGAGGCAGAUUUCAUUGGAAUUCUCAUUGGAUUCUGAUUUGGUCAUCGAUGAUCGUUCAGAUCAGGUUGUGAUGCCUGGUCUGAGGGAGAUCUUGAUAUCUGAGUGGU